rnacentral:rRNA from 1 species
UACGAAGGGUGCAAACGUUGCUCGGAAUUAUUGGGCGUAAAGAGCUCGUAGGCGGCUCGUUGCGUCAACCGUGAAAACCCGGGGCUUAACUUCGGGCUUGCGGUUGAUACGGGCGGGCUGGAGUUCGGUAGGGGAGACGUGGAAUUCCUGGUGUAGCGGUGAAAUGCGCAGAUAUCAAAGAGGAACACCUGCGGCGAAGGCGGGUUGCUGGGCCGACACUGACGCUGAGGCGCGAAAGCCAGGGGAGCGAACGGG